UGUUUGCUGAAGCUCCUUUCACCGGAGAGAGAGAGAAAAAAAAAACAGGGCUAUGCAUCUGCCUGCAGUCAUCAGAAUACCGAUUGUAUAUUUUAUGAAUGCUCAGCAAUUGGUUUUAAUUAGAAAGUGCACGAGAAGGAAUAAACCAGCCAAGCUGGUCGUAGAAGACUUGCCAAACCCAAGUCCUGCAGCUGUUCUUCGUAUGUUUUAGUCUCCAGUCCUUUGAUCAUCUUAGUUAAUGAUGGUAGUGCAUGGAUAGGACAUUUAAGUUGCUGCUCUAUUUCUGUGAACUGUCUGGCCCUGGUAAGUUUGAAUGGGCUGUUUUUAAUUCAAGAAAAGGUAACCUAAAGGCCAAAAGGAUGUCUCAAUCAGUCUGAAACGAUCCAUUGGGACCAAAGGUUUUACCUGCUGAGGACCGACCCAGAUUGGAUCCUGCAACAUUAUCCUGGGACAUGUAUAUUCGCCUUCAUUAGUUUUAUUUUUAUCUGAUUUAGGAACAUCAGCCUUCUUCUGAAAGAUCUUUCCUCCCAAGGCUUCAAUUCAUGCACCUUGGUGCUUCCCGGGUCCUGCUAAUGUUUGGCUAAAGACACAACAGAGGUGACUUUUUCAUGGGUUGAGCAGUCAAGACUACACUUUGGGGUGCAGAGUCAAGGGCAGUGCAGUGUGAGUCUGUAUCACACCUGGCACUUUUAAGGGUUCCGAUUUUAAAGAUGUACUUACCUGCUAUCUUGGGAGAAAGAAUUUAGGAUUGAUAGACAUCACAUGGUGAAUUGAUAAAAUCUUCCUUCCUUCCUGGUGAACAUGGUAAAGUUGGGGAUGGAAAACACCUUAUUGUCACUGACCUGUAUUUCCUUCCCACUCACUUGCUAGAGUCAGCUCUACUGCAAGCUGGGCAUGGCAGCUGCCUCGGGUGACAGAAAUCUGAAGGGGGCAGCAAGUCAUUGGAGUAGACAGGAAAAAACAUUCAGUUUGUCCUGCAUCCUAAAAUCUAUCCUUCCUCCUGCCUUCCAUUGCACGAGCCAGAAAGAGGGCUGUGAAAAUAUCUAGAGAUCCUUCACAUCCUGGACAUAAAACUGUUUCCACUUCUUCCCUCAAGAUGAUGCUACAGGGCACUGCACGCCAAAGCAACUAAACACAAGGACAGUUUUUCCCCACAUGCUAUUACUCUGCUAAACAACUAAUUCCCACAACACUGUCAAACUACCUAGUAGGGCUGUAUUACUGUUAUCCUUCUUGUCUUCUUUAUUACCUGUUUCUUAUCUUCUUAUAAUUAUAACUUUGUUUCUUGUAUUGUUUUAUUUAGUAUCCUAGUAUGAUUUACCUUGA